AUUAUGGACAAACGUGGGAUGUGAUUCUAAUUUUCAGGUUAUGGUAUGUUUUAUGAGGAUAUUAUGCGAAAAAAGGUACAACAUACCCAACAUCGCGGCUCAGUACACCAGCAUAAACGCGCAGCAUAACUUGACGAAGCUGUAAUAGUCAUGCUCGCAGCUGGGUCCUGCAGUCCGCCACCACAUUUGAGCACUGACUCGCCAUCCCGUCGAAUGUUCAACGAGCAGCCUCGAAAAUCGGCAACCUGUGCCUCAACAUCAACAAAUUUCAACAUUAUUUGUCCCGGGACUCCCACUUUCAACGUUGCCACUCAUGGGCUAAUUAUGGGUCCUGCAACUCGCAGUACUGACCCUGGAGCAAACGGACACAGACAACUAGACUGGUUUGGAGUGACAACGUACGACCUUGGACAACAUAGACCUCUAGAAAAACA
rnacentral:lncRNA from 1 species